AUGGGCCCAGCGGGGGCGGAGGAGCGGGUCGCGCCGCUGACAUUAGCCAAGGACAAGAUGGGGUGGGCGCCUGCCGGUGGCCGACUCCGCCCCUGCCUCUCAGGGGUGCGCGUCAUCCGCGCAGCCGCGGAUCCUGGCCCGGGGAGCCACCGGUCCAGCCUUGCGCCUGGGAGCCGGACUCGGAGACGUCCACCCGGUGGAGAGACGCGAGGGAGGCGUGCAGACAGGGGCUGCUCACACGGAGAGCCCGGGAAGCCGGCAGGGCGCAGGUGGGGCGGGUCCCGGGGCAGAGCAGUGACCAUCUGCGUCCUGCAUAGCGCUGCCACCAGGAGAGGAAAAUCCACUGGAGGUUGUGCUGUGUGCGUUCUCCAAGAGGGAAGCUCACUGGACAGCUCCACUAAGGCCCAUGCGAAGCUGCCUACUACGGCUUCCAGUGGGGUCCCAGUGACCGCUGCUGGCUCGGCUAAUGAAACUCCCGAAAUACCAGACAACGUGGGAGAUUGGCUUCGGGGCGUCUACCGCUUUGCCACAGAUAGGAAUGACUUCCGGAGGAACUCGAUACUAAAUUUGGGACUCUUUGCUGCGGGAGUUUGACUGGCCAGGAACUUGAGUGACAUUGACCUCAUGGCACCUCAGCCAGGGGUGUAGCCAAGUAGACAAAUGGAAUCCUGUGCUGAACCCGAAUCUCCCAAAAAACAGCCUACAAUCUGUGACCACCACAAGAUGUGCCCUGAUGGCAGCUGAAGUUUGAUUCAGAUGGGCACUUUUCUUCCCUCUCCCUGCCUAGUUUCCUUUUGUUCCUUGAGUCCACGCAGAAUUCCAUUCUCUGGUCAGCAGACAGGCUUAAGCUAAAGUAUGGCCUCUGUUUCUAUAAAG